AGUGAACGCUGGCGGUAGGCCUAACACAUGCAAGCCGAACGGCAGCACAGUAAGAGCUUGCUCUUACGGGUGGCGAGUGGCGGACGGGUGAGGAAUACAUCGGAAUCUACUUUUUCGUGGGGGAUAACGUAGGGAAACUUACGCUAAUACCGCAUACGACCUACGGGUGAAAGCAGGGGAUCUUCGGACCUUGCGCGAUUGAAUGAGCCGAUGUCGGAUUAGCUAGUUGGCGGGGUAAAGGCCCACCAAGGCGACGAUCCGUAGCUGGUCUGAGAGGAUGAUCAGCCACACUGGAACUGAGACGCGGUCCAGACUCCUACGGGAGGCAGCAGUGGGGAAUAUUGGACAAUGGGCGCAAGCCUGAUCCAGCCAUACCGCGUGGGUGAAGAAGGCCUUCGGGUUGUAAAGCCCUUUUGUUGGGAAAGAAAAGCAGCAGGUUAAUACCCCGCUGUUCUGACGGUACCCAAAGAAUAAGCACCGGCUAACUUCGUG
rnacentral:rRNA from 1 species